CCGUGCGCCCCGCGCCGCCCUCGCGCCUCUCAUUGGUGGAGCGGGUUUAGGCGGGAAUGGAAAUUCUGCGGUGACCACGGGGAUUGGCUGGGGCGGAGGCAGGUGCUGUAGCCCCGCCCCUCUCUCGCGAUACUUCACCAUUCUGAGGGGGCCUGGGGGGAGCCGGCGGCGGCGGGAGGGGGCGGCGGCGGCCACGGCCUCACGAAUUCGGUGCCGCCGCUGCUCAGCUCCGCGGAGGGAUGCCUAUCCCGUCCUGUUCCAGGCGCACCGAGGUCACUCGGAGGCCCCCUACUCAUACCGGCACAUCCCACUGAGCUCUACUGCUGAUUCUAACGAGGAGUCACCGUGAGGUGUUGCACCCCACCCUCUCCCCAGCACUUCCAUUCCCCUCCCCUGUCCCUCCUCUCCAGCCCCCUCAGUUUUGGGGUACCCCUGAGGUGUACACGGUGUCAGGGAUGACGCAGGUGACAGCAUCCUACAGGUGUCACAGGUGACAGGAUCACCUACCUGGACACGGAGCGGGAGGGGACAACACUGUCCCACAGGAUGUAGGAGUGCCACGGCUCCACAGGUGACAGUGAUGGUGUGCCACAACCUCACAGCCAUGAGGGUUGCCUCAUGGCAGGGGCAAAGGCACGCAGGAGGCCCCAACACCUGAGUCCAUCCAUGCUGGGUGAGGGUGACUGGGGGGACACUCCCAUCUCCCCCCACGACCCAACCCCUGAUAACCCAAUCCCCGCCGUGGGGCAACUGCGGGGCCCUUCCCCCUUUCCGUGAGUCAGCCGUGGGUUGUGGAGGGGGGGGAACAGGAAGCGCCAGAGCCACCACAUUGCCCUUAUAAGGACUCGACUGACGGCACCGGAGCUGCUUCCGCCUGCCCGGACUCCUGCUCCAGCCGCACAUCUCCCCCUCUACCCCACAUCACCUUCCCACAUCCCCAUCUCUGCCCUACACCACCUUCUUCACCCCACAUCAGCCCCGCCAUCUCCCUGUGCCACACCCCAUCCCCCACAUUUGCACCUCUGCCCCACAUCAACCCGUCCCACCACCUCCCCAGUCCCCAUCUCUGCCUCACAGCACCCCCCGAACACCUGGGGCCCUGCCUCACAGCUCGCCAGAAUAUCCAGAGGAGUUCCUGCCCCCCAGUUCUCCUUCUGUUCUCCCCAGAUGUCCCCCCAGCCCGCUUGUUCCAUCCCACCGUCCCCCCCUGCUGCUGCCUGGACUCCCGCUGACCUCCCCCACCGCCUCCACCAUGAGUGCAGCCCUCCAAUAAAGCCUCUGCCCCCCAA